GUAUAAGGUUUUAUGGGCAAGAAUGCCCGAUACAUACAUUCUGAACAUUCAAUUGUGUGGGUAGUGAAAACGUAGGUACCAGAGUCCAGCACACACAGUGUGCUGGAGUGGACCCACAGAAGUGCACAGGUGGAGAAGGAUGAAACAAUGGCGGGCCGUGCACAUGCCUCCGAAAAGGCCAGCAAACUUAGCCACACCGGUUUGUUCACUAAUGAUCCUUCCGCAGGUUCACCUACGGAAA
rnacentral:misc_RNA from 1 species